AACGAACGCUGGCGGCAUGCCUAACACAUGCAAGUCGAACGAGACCUUCGGGUCUAGUGGCGCACGGGUGCGUAACGCGUGGGAACCUGCCCUUAGGUUCGGAAUAACUCCCCGAAAGGGGUGCUAAUACCGGAUAAUGUCUUCGGACCAAAGAUUUAUCGCCUUUGGAUGGGCCCGCGUUGGAUUAGCUAGUUGGUAGGGUAAAAGCCUACCAAGGCGACGAUCCAUAGCUGGUCUGAGAGGAUGAUCAGCCACACUGGGACUGAGACACGGCCCAGACUCCUACGGGAGGCAGCAGUGGGGAAUAUUGCACAAUGGGCGGAAGCCUGAUGCAGCAACGCCGCGUGCGGGAUGACGGCCUUCGGGUUGUAAACCGCUUUCGCCUGUGACGAAGCGUGAGUGACGGUAAUGGGUAAAGAAGCACCGGCUAACUACGUG
rnacentral:rRNA from 1 species